rnacentral:rRNA from 1 species
GACGAACGCUGGCGGCGUGCUUAACACAUGCAAGUCGAACGGAAAGGCCUGCUUUCCCUUGUGGAUUGCGGGUACUCGAGUGGCGAACGGGUGAGUAACACGUGAGUGAUCUGCCCCCAACUUGGGUAUAAGCCUGGGAAACUGGGUCUAAUUCCCGAUAGGACUGCAGGGUGGUGCCUGUGGUGGAAAACGAUUUUCUAGUGGUUGGGGAUGAGCUCGCGGCCUAUCAGCUUGUUGGUGGGGUAAUGGCCUACCAAGGCGGCGACGGGUAGCCGGCCUGGGAGGGUGGACGGCCACAUUGGGACUGAGAUACGGCCCAGACUCCUACGGGAGGCAGCAGUGGGGAAUAUUGCACAAUGGGCGGAAGCCUGAUGCAGCGACGCCGCGUGGGGGAUGACGGCCUUCGGGUUGUAAACUCCUUUCGACCGCGAGGAAGCCACCUGGUUGGAAGGGUGGAGACGGUAGUGGUAGAAGAAGCACCGGCUAACUACGUG